rnacentral:rRNA from 1 species
UCACUUUAAGGUGUGUGCCGGUGACAAACCGGAGGAAGGUGGGGAUGACGUCAAAUCAUCAUGCCCCUUAUGACCUGGGCUACACACGUGCUACAAUGGGCAGAACAAAGGGCAGCGAAGCCGCGAGGCUAAGCCAAUCCCACAAAUCUGUUCUCAGUUCGGAUCGCAGUCUGCAACUCGACUGCGUGAAGCUGGAAUCGCUAGUAAUCGCGGAUCAGCAUGCCGCGGUGAAUACGUUCCCGGGCCUUGUACACACCGCCCGUCACACCACGAGAGUUUGUAACACCCGAAGUCGGUGAGGUA